CCCUUGUCUUUAGUUGCUAACGGGUAAUGCUGAGCACUUUAGAGAGACUGCCGUCGUUAAGACGGAGGAAGGUGGGGACGACGUCAAGUCAUCAUGGCCCUUAUGUCCCGGGCUGCACACGUGCUACAAUGGUCGGUACAAAGGGAUGCUAAGUCGCGAGAUGGUGCGAAACCUAUAAAGCCGAUCUCAGUUCAGAUUGGAGGCUGAAACUCGCCUCCAUGAAGUUGGAAUCGCUAGUAAUCGCGGAUCAGCUACGCCGCGGUGAAUAUGUUC
rnacentral:rRNA from 1 species